GCAAUUCUAUACCGUGAAACUGCGAAUGGCUCAUUAAAUCAGUUAUCGUUUAUUYGAUAGUACCUACUUACUUGGAUAACCGUGGUAAUUCUAGAGCUAAUACAUGCUAAAAACCUCGACUUCGGAAGGGGUGUAUUUAUUAGAUAAAAAACCAAUGCCCUCCGGGGCUCCCUGGUGAUUCAUAAUAACUAAACGAAUCGCAUGGCCUUGCGCCGGCGAUGGUUCAUUCAAAUUUCUGCCCUAUCAACUUUCGAUGGUAGGAUAGUGGCCUACCAUGGUGGCAACGGGUAACGGGGAAUUAGGGUUCUAUUCCGGAGAGGGAGCCUGAGAAACGGCUACCACAUCCAAGGAAGGCAGCAGGCGCGCAAAUUACCCAAUCCCGACACGGGGAGGUAGUGACAAUAAAUACUGAUGUGGAGCUCUUUAGGGUUUCACAAUUGGAAUGAGAAAAAUCUAAACCACUUAAACGAGGAACAAUUGGAGGGCAAGUCUGGUGCCAGCAGCCGCGGUAAUUCCAGCUCCAAUAGCGUAUAUUAAAGUUGUUGCAGUUAAAAAGCUCGUAGUUGAACCUUGGGCCUGGCCGGCCGGUCCGCCUCACCGCGUGCACUGGUUCGGCCGGGCCUUUCCUCCUGGGGAACCGCAUGCCCUUCACUGGGUGUGCCGGGGAAUCAGGACUUUUACUUUGAAAAAAUUAGAGUGUUCAAAGCAGGCAUUUGCUCGAAUACAUUAGCAUGGAAUAAUAGAAUAGGACGUUGUGGUUCUAUUUUGUUGGUUUCUAGGACCGCCGUAAUGAUA
rnacentral:rRNA from 1 species